GCCUGCCUGGCACAGAAAUGCCUCCAGGACAAGGGCAGCAACACAGCAAAGUCCUCCAGGACUUGGCUCCACGCUCUGCUUUCCACCAACACCCAGGUGGACAUAAAGUCACGUUUUCCAAAGGUGCGACCAGCCUGGAAAGCACCAGCAAGCACACCGGCAGUGUGAGGAGGAGGCAGGAUAGUUCCUUCUGCCUCCAACAGGUUUCCUAGCUGGACAAACCCCAGGUCCAAUGACAGGCUCCCGGCAUUGCUCAUCCUGGCCAGAAACCUGACCCCAGCUGGACUUUGCCCGCCAUGAGAUGGCCUGGGAAGUUGAAUGGAAAGAGAUGGGAAGCAUGGGCUAGGGCAGGGAUGAGAGGAACGUAAUCAGGGCUGGGAGCUGCCAGCGGGGUUAAGAGCUGUGGGUUUAUCAAACACAAUAUCAUGCCCCCCCCUCCCUGGAAUAUAAAGGGAGUGAAACAGAAGCCGUGUGGGAGAUAAGGCGGCAGCACCCAGCAGCUCAUAUGGAAUUACUGCAGUGACCUUGACCAAGACGUGGCCAGAACUCCUAUGCCGCCCACCUGCCCUCUGCCACCAGACUCCUCCCUGGGGAGGAAAGAUGCCAGCACAGGACAUUCUUCCAUUGUACGUGACUGAUGUAAAACUUUCAUCUACCCGGUGUUGUAUUAACAGAUUUUCCUGUGGGUAGAUGAACACAUGGAGCCUGGUUUCAAUAGGCUGGACUGAAGAUAUGGAUCCAUGGAGAUAUGGAUGGGCUUUGCCAUCCUUUAAGGGCCAAAGCCUUUCUGGGGAAUGCUGUCCAGCUGCUUUUACCAGGAAGGUGACACUUCCUGACAUCAGACCAAGACAGACCCCACACAGAGCUCACUCUGCCUCGGGAACCUGCUCCAAGUAAAGUCCAAUGUGCCAAACUCAGGUCUGGGAUGCCUCCACAAAAAGCCCCAUUCCAGCAGUGAUGAACACAUGAGGAAAAUGGUGAUGAGCCCAGACACACAAGCAGAUGGAUGGACUGGAGGGGUGUCUCUAACACGAGGCCUUACCAUGGCUCACAACUUUUAGAGCACAAAUUUCUCUCAUUUAAGAGUGAUUAGUCUUGGAAGGAAGCAUGUAACACCUGGCUCAGAAUGGGGCAUGGGUACCUGGAGCUCAAUGGAAAGAGAUGGCAAGAUCAGCACAAGAAGGAAAAUUUUGAGUGCAAAACCAGGCAGGGUGGCAACACCCCUUGGGACAGUGUUUUUAGUGGGAUCCAGAAUGCCUCAGACAAGCAUCCCAUCAGCAAGUCCCAAGGGGAGACUGGACAAGCCACCAAAAAUAUGAUAAAAACCAGGAUGGAUUUGUCUGCUCUCGUGGUACCAGUAUUCAUGAGUACAAGAACACCCUGCUCACUCACCUGCUAGCCAAGCACAAUCAAGACACAAAGAACACACCUCAUGGUAACUGGCACUUUUAAAUUCUCCUUUAGCAGAAAUACCAGUAUUUUCCAGUCUUAACGUUUUCUGAGGUGGUGAUGCUUCUUGCCUUGUCUCUUCUUGGCAAGCAUCAUCUGUAGCAGUAACAGAUGACCUAGCAGUAGUCUCACAUCACAGUGUGUCAGAAAAAAGGCAGCCCAGUAUUUGUAAUCACUGAAUCACUUCAGAAAGAAGAAUCUCCACUCAAUCUGUGUAAACAUGGUUAUUUAUUUCAUUUUUUUAAAAGCAAGUUUAUUUCUACAUACAGAGGGCUUCACUUCCACUUCAGAGCAUGUUACUGCUUUACAUCCUCAAAUAAAGAUACCAUUUCACUCA